rnacentral:rRNA from 1 species
UAGGGAAUCUUCCACAAUGGGCGAAAGCCUGAUGGAGCAACGCCGCGUGAGUGAAGAAGGGUUUCGGCACGUAAAGCUCUGUUGUUAAAGAAGAACACGUAUGAGAGUAACUGUUCAUACGUUGACGGUAUUUAACCAGAAAGUCACGGCUAACUACGUGUCAG